AUGGCAGAAACCCGCUACGAUGCAGAAGAAGAGGUGAACGACCACCCAAUCGAGGAGGUCCGGAACACGGUGCCGAUAACCGACGACCCGUCGGAGCCGUCCCUGACGAUCCGAACAUGGGUGCUGGGGAUGUCGUCCUGCAUGCUUCUGGCCUUCGUCAACGAGUUCUUCAUGUACCGGUCCAACCAGCUGAGCAUCGGCACGGUGUUGGUGCAGAUCGCCACCCUGCCCAUCGGCCGGUUCAUGGCGUCGGCGCUGCCGGCGAAGCUCAUACGCGUCCCGCUCAUCGGCUGGUCCUUCAGCCUCAACCCGGGCCCUUUCAGCCUCAAGGAGCACUGCCUCAUCACCAUCUUCGCCGGCGCGGGCGCCAGCGGCGUCUAUGCAAUGAAUAUCAUCGCCAUCGUCAAGGUCUUCUACAAACGGCAGAUCAACCCCUACGCGGCCAUGCUGCUCGCGCAGACAACUCAGUUGCUUGGGUACGGAUGGGCUGGCUUGUUUAGGACGUACCUGGUGGAUUCAGCCUACAUGUGGUGGCCUCUAAACCUUGUCCAGGUCACCCUGUUCAGGGCGAUGCACGAGGAGGAGAAGAGGCCCAAGGGGCAGCUGACACGGCUGCAAUUCUUCAUCAUCGUGCUGGUCUGCAGCUUCGCCUACUACCUGAUCCCCAGCUACCUGUUCCCGGCGGCCAGCACCUUCUCGGCGCUCUGCUGGUUCUUCAAGGACUCUGUGACGGCGCAGCAGAUCGGCUCCGGCCUCAAGGGCCUCGGCCUCGGCUCCUUCGGCCUCGACUGGAACACCGUCGCCGGGUUCAUCGGCAACCCGCUCGCCUCCCCGGCGUUCGCCAUCUUCAACAUCAUGGUCGGCUUCUCCCUCAGCAACUAUUUAACGCUGCCGCUCCUCUACUGGACUAACACCUACAAUGCCAAGCGCUUCCCCAUCAUUUCGUCGCACGUCUUCGACGCUGCCGGCGGCCGCUAUGACACCAACCGCAUCCUCGACCCCAAGACCUUCACGCUCAACCUCCACGAGUACAACGCCUACAGCCGCAUUAACCUCAGCGUGCUCUUCGCCAUCAACUACGGAUUCGGCUUUGCUGGCCUCAUGUCCACGCUCUCACAUGUUGCGCUCUACCAUGGCAAGGAGAUUUUUGAUCUAUGGUGGAAGGCAGCGUCAGAGAAGGGCAAGGAGCACGAUGUGCACACCAGGAUCAUGAAGAGGAACUACAGGUCUGUUCCGCAGUGGUGGUUCCACCUAAUGUUGGUCCUCGUGCUGGCUCUGUCAUUGUUCACAUGUGAGGGUUUUGGAGGACAGUUGCAACUACCAUAUUGGGGACUCCUCCUCGCUUGUGCCAUCGCCUUAACCUUCACGCUACCCAUCGGCAUCAUCACUCCAACGACAAAUAUGCAACCUGGAUUAAAUAUCAUCACCGAGCUCAUCAUCGGGUACCUCUACCCUGGGAAUCCAUUGGCCAAUGUAGUAUUCAAGACGUGCGGCUACAUAAGCAUGGGGCAGGCACUAACAUUCGUGUCGGAUUUCAAGCUUGGGCAUUACAUGAAGAUACCCCAAGGUCCAUGUUCUUAG
rnacentral:rRNA from 1 species